AACGGACUACACAAUACACGCACUACAGAUGGGUGCCCGGGGACCUCAGAACCAACCGCUGUGGACACCAGGAGACAGCUGUGCCUCAUUUGUCUCUGCCUGGAUUUCAGUCUGUUGGGGGUCAGAGCUAGAAAAGAAUCGGCUGCUAAUUUUCUUCCGUGAUGUUUACUUUCCCCUAAGGAACUCAGAGACUCAAAGAUUUAAAAGUCCUGUGCCCACGGAGAAUUGCCGACUGAAGGGGACGGAGCGGACCGGGUCCCUUAGGUGUGGAGACCAUUGUCAUCAGAGUGUGAAAAUGAAAUGACUCUGUAUGUAGGUCACUGACCCCCUUCUCUACUGUGAGAUCCGUGGCCCUGUGAGUGGUGCUCUGCUGUGUGGUGACAUUCCUCUCUCCUGAAACUGCAAGUAUUUGAGGGCAGAGGCAAGGUCUGGUGUAGCACAACCCAUGCAAAAGUGCAAAUGCAACUGAGCGAGGAAAGGAUCUUUGACAAACAUCACUGGAAUAACUGUCAUCCUCCUGCAACAAUACAAAUAACAAUGAUGACAAAC
rnacentral:lncRNA from 1 species